rnacentral:lncRNA from 1 species
CAAGGCUGAACACGCUGGGCCCCUUCGGGAUGCUGGCGGUUAUGUGGGCGGUGGGACGGGUGGGGUGACAUGGAACACACCUCAGUCGCUCCUCCAGCUAGGGUUUUGGGGUUGCAAGCAACGGAACCUGGCUCUUGCUAACCAUGUUGGGGCUGGACGCAAGGGUUUACGGGCAGGACCUGAGCUAGCUACAGAGUGGAGAGGUAAGAUGAGAGCCAGCCCACAGGAAGGCCGGAGUGGA